rnacentral:rRNA from 1 species
AACGAACGCUGGCGGCGUGGAUAAGACAUGCAAGUCGAGCGGGAACUUUCGCUGUAGCAAUACAGUGAAAGUUCUAGCGGCGAACGGGUGCGUAACACGUGGACAAUCUGCCUUAAAGUGGGGGAUAGCUCGGCGAAAGCCGAAUUAAUACCGCAUGUGAUGAGAGACGACAUCGUCUUGAAAUCAAAGCCGGGGCAACCUGGCGUCUUUUUUGAGGAGUCCGCGGCCUAUCAGCUUGUUGGUGAGGUAACGGCUCACCAAGGCUAUGGACGGGUAGCUGGUCUGAGAGGACGACCAGUCACACUGGAACUGAGACACGGUCCAGACACC